rnacentral:lncRNA from 1 species
GGUUUCGUCCCAAAACGCCGAAGAAAGGCACAAUGGCCUAGAAAGGGACGACCGGACUUGGAACGGGGUCCGAGGCCUCGAAAGUCCACAUCUAGCUACUGGGCGGUCCGAUCUCGAAGUUUCUUGCCCACAAAAGCCGAACGGUGACGCCAGACUCGAUUUCUUAGUUCCGUCCCAAAAUGACGAAGAAAGGCACAAUGGCCUAGAAAGGGACGACUGGACUUGGAACGGGGUCCGAGGCCUCGAAAGUCCACAUCUAGCUACU